rnacentral:snoRNA from 1 species
UAUUGUGAUGCGGUUAGGAUUGCACUGUUUUUAGCUGAAAUGCUAUCGAUUUUAGAUAGGUCCUGCUGAAA